GUGAAAUAUUCUAAUAAAUCAAAAUGCUGGCUGCAACCAGGACCCUGCUGAGGAGCAAUGCUCAAAUCGCCAAGAACAUCGUCCAGAAGAGGAACAUGACCCUGAUCGUCACACCCGCCAGGGAAAAGGUUACGAACGCUGAGAUGUUCAUCCUGGCCGGCACCAUGGUGGUCGGCUGGCAGAUCGUCCCCGCCUGGGUGCUCCUCCACAUGAGGCACUACCGCCAUCUUGAAUAGCCGCCAUUUUGAUUGCAGCGUCUCUACAAGUGUGUGUAGUUAAUAAAUUGUAUUGGUAAAA